AAUUACAAUGCCAGGAGCACAUUAAUUUUAUUUUUCUCUUCUUUUUUGUCAGUGUUGGGCAUCCAUUACUCAAUGUGUUUUAGAAAAAAAGAGAGAGGAGAAAAAUCUAGUUCUCUGAAUGGGAAGAAAUAUCAAAUAUAGAGAAACCUAAAUUCCCUGAGGAGAAAUGGAAAUGGUAAAAAAAUAAAGCAACAAAACAAGAACCUAUUCUUUCGGGAAAACUAGGAAUACAGUAAUUCUGAACUGAAACAAGACAGUGACAGUCCUGUCACCAUUUACCUGGUUCACCAUUCAGCCGAACCUGAAUCCUCCUAAACAACAGAGUGGAGAAGGAAAUCUUCAGAACUGACUGGGAUUGGCUGUCUCCCAUUUCUUGGAAGCAGGCUUCAGGAUCUGAUAAGUAGUGAUUAUGCUGCUGAACCAAGACUUCCUCCAGAAUCCAAGUGCCUGAAAACAGGAUCAUUAAUUUCUGAAAAAGAUAAAAGUUUUGCCUUAUGGCAUUUGGAUUACAUACAAGAGUCCAAAGACAAAAAAGGUGGACAAAAGCAAAGAGAAAUCGUGGCCCCAUGCGUAGGCAUAAUUUCAGGAGAGGGUGAGUAUGAAAGGCUUGAUGGCUAUAUUUUUAUGUGAGCAACAUGGAAAGAGAGGCAAAUCUUUCUUCAACAAA
rnacentral:lncRNA from 1 species